AGGGCUACUCUUAUUUUUAAAUAUCCACCCUUAAUCCAUGAUGAAGGAAAGAUUACUUAGGCAUGACAGUCCUUCAGUUUGGAAUGCUGGUCAUUGGGAAUUACCUACUAGCUCUAGGAAGAUGUAACGCUCUGCUGGGUGCUGCUGCGGACCUGCCUGUACAAGUGCUCACCAGACACCGGUGAAACCCUCUUGGAAACAAUGAUGGGCAUUGUUGAGCUGGGUGGGGUGAGAAGAGGAACGUUGGUAACUACCAAUGAACCUUGGCCAAGCCCCCAUGUGGCAAGAAAAGCCGUUUCUCCUGUGAUUCCAUUUUCUGACUAGGAAGUAACGCUAAACUGUAAGAUUUAACACUCCUGAGGCAUCAAAGCCUCCAGGCUGUUAAGGAGCAGGCAGCAGAGGCCUCCUAGGGUCAGGGGCAAUGAAGGGCGGAGGCCCUGCACCAGCUUCCACCUUUCUGCGGCCGCCAGCCCUCACCCUCUUAGCCCACUGAGCAAGACGCGUCAGGGAGGAGUACAAGCCAUGCUUCAUCUCGCCGCCAAGCCAGGAGGACCCUUGCGGCUAAAUGAGACAAGCUAUUACCUAGCAGCUCAAAUUGAGCAACCCCAGGGAGGAGGCAAGCACAGGCGGAGACCACAAGCAAAACAAGGGCAAGAAACCCGAGUCUGCUUUGAAUAAAGCUGCUAGUGCCUACGCAUAAUGUUCUCUUAUCCCCACAUAGGAUGGAGCCACAGCCAGAACCCAGAUGGAAAGAUUGAGGCAUACAAAAGUUACGCAGCUUGGCCCAAGUCACAUGGAUAGGAAGUGGCAGAACUAUGAUUCAGAGCCAGGGACGUACUUUUAACUACUAUUGCUAUGAAAUUAAAGAAAUCAGAGAAAUUGAAAAGCAAAAAUGUUCCAACAUAUACAAAAGCAGAGAAAAUGGUAUAAUGAGCCCCAUGUACCCAUCAGCCAACUUGAACAACUAUCACUAUUUUGCUAUUCUUGCCUCAUGGAUUUCUUUCGAAAUAGAAAUUGUUAAGUCUCCACUCCAGGAGGGUCUGGAAUGUAUCUUUCAAGGAGGUGCCAGGUUGGAAUAGCCUAAACUCUGGUCCUGGGCCUGGGGCCACACCUGCUUAAGGAAGAUACUUCCUCAGUGCCCUGAAUCCACAUGCUACUAAAACAGAUCCCUCAACAUUGGCUACUCAAGCAAGCGAUUUCUCUCCUCCUGCACCAAAAGAAUCCACAUGGUGCCUCUUUCAACAGUUGAUGCCAGGGUGGAUCACAUACAAGAGAAUCCAACGUUAGCAAAGCAGGAAAGCACAAGUCUCUGGAACCACAGCUUUCAGGGAAGUGGGCUGUGGCUGGUGUGGAGAUGAUUCAGACUUCCACUGGGGUCAGAAGAGCAGGGGUGUAGCCAGAUUCCUACUUUAGAGAGGAGUCUGUGCUCACCAUUUUGUUUGCUGUAGAUAUGUUCUAUCCCUGUCUAGAAAGCAAGCUUGUUCUUUAGCGAACGUGUAGCCAAAUCUAGUUAUGCCCAGGUUCCAGGGAGGAAUACAUCGGAAAAACAAAUUCACAGAGAAGUUGUCACGGAUAUUUAGGGGGUUGAGGUCCUAGAAUGUUUUGUCUUCAUUUCUAAGUGCCCAAGUAUUUAAAAAUUAAUAU